rnacentral:lncRNA from 1 species
CAACUCAUAAUCUCGAGUCAAGGGUAUAACAAUUAAAGUGAUAUUAAAGUAUAAGUUGAUAAAUUAUAAAAUAUAGAAUCAGAUAUAGAAUGAGUAUGAGUGGAUAGACACUAGGGCCAUUAUGGUGUUGAUUCUUGAUGAUUGUAGUAUGAGAAAUCUUUAUGAUUUUUGGUUAAACAUUGAGAUUAUCUAUGAAAGGACCACAAGAGAUUAUGA